rnacentral:tRNA from 1 species
GACAGUUUGGCCGAGUCGUCUAAGGCGCCAGAUUUAGGCUCUGGUCCGAUAGGGCGUGUGGGUUCAAAUCCCACAGCUGUCA